CUCUAUACAAAAACAUGCUUACAUUGAAACACAAACACUGCUCACAAAUUCAACUCUGCAAGGGUGAGUACAGCUUGUAAAGCAUUGUGGGAGUUGUAUGACAGAUGAGGAUCUAUUUUUACCACCCUUGCACUAGAGGGAACUUAAAUAAUAUAGUCUUGCACCAGGGCCCUCUCUACAAUAGUUCCACCACUGUUAUGUGGCUUCGAGGAAGGCUGUGUUGCCACUACUUCUCUUCUGCCAGGUCUAAAUGCUCUUUGAUCUCCGGGUAUGGUUAAGCUACUAGAGCAGGC